CUGUUAUGCAAGUUUGUGUUAUAUUUUUUUUGGCGCCGGCACAGCUGGCUGCUUGCAGACGCAGCUCCCGUCGUGUGUGUUAAUCUGUGUAUAUUUGCUGUAACCGAUUAAGGAUCCAUGCUUAAAGAACCCAUAGAUCAUCAGUUAAGCUUUCCACAAUGGCUGGAUGUGGUUCUGUCGCUGUUCUCCGCGUUCUUCUGCUACUUUUUCUACUCUUUGUUACGGAGAACCUCGCCGAACGGAGUAGCGGCAUUGUUUACUCGCGUGAACAGCUGAUUGCGCUGUGUAAGCCUCUGCUGCUGCCCGGAGACAGGCCUGUGGUCCCAGAGGAGACGACGGGACUGCAGGUUUGGAGUUAAACGGAGGGAGAAGAGGAGACGGCACAAACCAGCGGUACCGGUGAUUAUUGUGGGGAACGUGAGGUCUUUGGGGAAUAAGACGGACGAACUCACGGCGCUGGUUAGGACCCAGAAGGAGUACAGGGAAUGCAGUAUCUUCUGCUUCACGGAAACCUGGCUACACUCGUUUAUUCCGGACUACAGCGUGGAGGUCCCUGGAUUUUCCUUGGUGCGGGGGGACAGGGACUUUUCCAAGAGUCGGAAGAAGAAGGGCGGCGGGAUUGCACUUUAUGUGAGUGAGAGGUGGUG